UUUCCGUAGGUGAACCAGCGGAGGGAUCAUUACCGAGUGCAAACUCAUAACCCUUUGUGAACCUAUAUCUGUUGCUUCGGCGGCUCGCUCUCGGGCGAGCCCGCCGGUAAUAUCAGUAUCUCUGUUUGAACCCGACGAUACUUCUGAGUGUUCUUAGCGAACAGUUAAAACUUUUAACAACGGAUCUCUUGGCUCUA
rnacentral:misc_RNA from 1 species